rnacentral:rRNA from 1 species
CAACCUGCCCACCACUUGGGGAUAACCUUGCGAAAGUAAGACUAAUACCCAAUGAUAUCUCUAGAAGACAUCUGAAAGAGAUUAAAGAUUUAUCGGUGAUGGAUGGGGAUGCGUCUGAUUAGCUUGUUGGCGGGGUUACAGCCCACCAAGGCGACGAUCAGUAGGGGUUCUGAGAGGAAGGUCCCCCACAUUGGAACUGAGACACGGUCCAAACUCCUACGGGAGGCAGCAGUGAGGAAUAUUGGUCAAUGACGAGAGUCUGAACCAGCCAAGUAGCGUGCAGGAAGACGGCCCUAUGGGUUGUAAACUGCUUUUAUAAGGGAAUAAAGUGAGUCUCGUGAGACUUUUUGCAUGUACCUUAUGAAUAAGGACCGGCUAAUUCCGUGCCUGCAGCCGCGGUAAUACGGAAGGUCCGGGCGUUAUCCGGAUUUAUUGGGUUUAAAGGGAGCGUAGGCCGGAGAUUAAGCGUGUUGUGAAAUGUAGACGCUCAACGUCUGCACUGCAGCGCGAACUGGUUUCCUUGAGUACGCACAAAGUGGGCGGAAUUCGUGGUGUAGCGGUGAAAUGCUUAGAUAUCACGAAGAACUCCGAUUG